rnacentral:rRNA from 1 species
UCACCGGGGGCGACAGCAAUAUGAAGGUCAGGCUGAAGACCUUACCCGAUUAGCUGAGAGGUGGUGCAUGGCCGUCGUCAGUUCGUACUGUGAAGCAUCCUGUUAAGUCAGGCAACGAGCGAGACCCACGUCCACAGUUGCCAGCAUACCCUCCGGGGUGAUGGGUACACUGUGGAGACCGCCGCUGCUAAAGCGGAGGAAGGAGUGGGCAACGGUAGGUCAGUAUGCCCCGAAUCUCCCGGGCUACACGCGGGCUACAAUGGUUGGUACAAUGGGCAUCUACCCCGAAAGGGGAAGGAAAUCUCUUAAAGCCAAUCGUAGUUCGGAUUGAGGGCUGCAACUCGCCCUCAUGAAGCUGGAAUCCGUAGUAAUCGCGUUUCAACAGAACGCGGUGAAUACGUCCCUGCUCCUU